GUAUCAGGUCAUAAAAUUUCUCUUGCUUCUGGAAGAAAAUCCACUCCCCCAAGACAGAAAGGCAAAGGUCAUUUGCUGACAUCCAACAUUCCAUAAAGAAACACUUGAGUAAAGGAUGAGAAAGUCAUCUGGGAUUCACACCAGAAAACUGCUGAUGAAGAUAUUAAUCAAUGCUAACAUUUAUAGUUAUUCUUUGAGAUAAACAAGAGCCUAGAAAACCAAAGAACAGGAACAAAGAAGAAGGGGAAAACCCACAGAAAUCCGGGCUGCUUUAAAUAAUUCUCUCUUGGUUUAAGUACUCUUUCAUAAAGUAGGUGGGGACUGGGCUGAGAUUAAGGAUUGGCUACAUUUCCACAAUUCUUCAUCUAUUGUUGGCAAGUUACCUAAAAAUGAAAAUAUUUUCACAU
rnacentral:lncRNA from 1 species